GUAAAUAUCAGUACAUGCAUGUAUGUACUGCACCUUUAAGCCUUGAGGCAACUGUACAAUGUACUCUGUCUGCUGAUGGUUAUAAUUGUGUAUAUAUGAUAGUAGUAGUAGUAUUUUUGGAAAAUGCCUUUUCUUUUUUUUAAGUUAACAGUGUGUUUAUAUUUGUUAUUUUAUUAGGGAUGGGUAUUAUGAACAAUUCUGAAUCACAAUAUAUUGUGAUAUGGAAUUCCUGUAACAUGAUACAUAUCGUAAUAUAUGAUUUUCUUCACCAGCAACCUGUUUUAAGGAAGGCGUGUAACAAAAUAAAGAAAAUAUAUGAUAAAAGUUGAAGUUUAUUAUUUAAAACAUGAAAUAUAUGGAUUACUUUGGUGUACUGUAACUUAUUUAAUGUUCAGCCUUACAUCUUUGAACAUAGCUAAGAACAUCAGUCAAAUCUAAGAGGCUGGAAUUUCCAAAUGGCAAUGAACUUGAAAUAUGGAAAUUACAGAGUGUAUUGGCACAUGCAGAGUGUAUUAUAAUCUUUUGAAUCAUAAUAUAUUUGUAUAAUGAUAAUACCACACAUCCCUAGUUACAAUUAUUUAAAUUGGAUAUUGUUUUUAUAAUACUAUAUUGUACAAAUAGACAACAUACAUUUCACAUUGCUGCACAUAGAAGUAUAUUUCACAUUGUUACACAUAAAUGUAUGUUUAAUGUUGUUUAUAAACAUAGGCGUUUAUAUUUUGAGAGGGGUAUGGGUGUUUAUAUUACUCCUCAGUGGAAAACUGACCAUAAUUUUUUUAAUUGCAUUUUUCCUUCAGAAUAAUGCAAAAACCAAGUUAGAAUAACCUUAAAAUACUGACCAAUUGACUGACUUACCGGUAAUUGUUUUGGAUGUUGUUUUUUCCUCCAAUGUAAUAAUGACUGAUUGACCGAUUGCUAAACUAAUGAGCUGGUUUUCAGAAAACCCAAAUAUAUUUAUAAAGAUGGUCAUAUAUGGAUAUAUUGGUACACUGCUGAGAAAAGAAAAAAAAAGAAAAGAAAAUAAGAAAAAAUACCCCCCAAAAACUAAGUGUUUGGAUUUGUAUAAAAUGUUGAUGUGUGUUUAGUAUUUUCUGCUUUUCUAUUGGAUUACAAUUUGUGUGUCCUUGAUUGCCUUCAAAGCAACACUGUGAUACGGCUGAUAUUACCCUAGUUGAAUAAACAACAUAUUGCAUAGUGUAUUUAUUUUCUGUACUAAUGAUUUUUUUCUUGCUAACUUUAUUUAAUGGACAUACUGUAACAUAAAUAUAGUUAUUAAUAUUAUUAUUUUUAAAGGGACUAUUGUGAAUUUGUAACUUUUGUAAUGUUUUGGGCCAUUAAUAUAGAUCAAAAUAUUUAUCAUAGAAUAUGAUUAUCUGUAAUUAAUGCUUUUUUUUAUCAUCCUGUUUAAAUAUACAUGUAUGUAGUAACUCAAUUAUACAUACAAUACAUGAUUAAAAAAUUAUUCUAAUUGUCAAGCAAAAUUGUUAAGAAUUGGGUCAAGAGGAAUCUAGAAGAUAUUUUUGUAAAUUAUUUAAAUUUCAAACAUUUAUCAGUUAUGGAUGUUUACGUAUAUUAAUUUUAUAUAUAUCAAAACAAAUUUGAAAUAAUUGGAUCAAAGGGAAACCAAAAUGUCUUGAUCUAACUGCUUUAUAUUUUAAGCAUUUAAACUUUGAAAAGUCUUAUUAAUAAUUAGUAAUAUUACCCAGAUGUAUUACGUACAUGUACAAGUCCCUUGCUACUAAUGGAAAAAUGUAGCGGGUUUCAUCUGAUGAUUACGUGUCAGAAUUACCAAAUGUUUGACAUCCAAUUAAUUAAUCAAUGUGCUCUAGUGGUGUCGUUUAAAAAAAAACCUUUAUUACAAUGGCUACAUGUAUGCCAGUUCCCACAACUGGAAUAUUAAAGGCAGUGUUAUGUGCUGUGCUGUCUGUGGAAAAUUGAAAUUAAAAGAUACCUUGCUACUAAAGGAAAAAUGCAGCGAGUUUUCUCUAAAGGCUAGGCAUCAAAAUUACCAUACAUGUAUGUUUGACAUCCAACAGCUGAUAUUUGUUUAAUGUGAUCUUGUGGUGUCGUUCCACAAAACAAACUUUUAACUUGUGAUGGCUACAAACUCAGGAUAGUCCCUUUAACUCUUACAAUGUGCCAAGUUUGUGUACUGAAAUAACUCAAAUAUUAUUAUAUAUGGUGAUGUACAUAAGAGUUAAAUAAAUCUUUGUCAUGUAUUUGUUACAAAGGAUUUGAUUGGACGUUUGAAUUCCUAAAUGUGCAUGCUACAUUCAUGUUAAGAGUGACAAAUAUGACAUUAUAUGUUAAUAGUUAUGUUGUUGUUUUAAUGAAUAAAUAAAUAAAUAGAAUUAAAAAUCAAAUAGGCUAAUAGUUGCAGGUCUAUACUCCUACAAAUUUUUUUUUUGGUAAAAGUGUUUUGAAAAUUUAAAAAAAACCAAACUAUUUUUGGCACUUUUUGCACCUUUCUUCCUGAAUACUAUAAAUGAUGCCCUUUUGAAAUGUUGUACACCUUGCCUGGAAAAAUCCUGCAUCCACCAUCCCUAGGUUUUAUUUAUCUGAACCAAACCAGUGGCAUUUCCCUCAAUUUGUUCUGCUCAACAGUAUGUUGGGGGUCAAUCUGGCAGGUGAAAAUGACCGUCUGUAUGUUUUUAGAGGGGUCCAGGAGCAUGCUGCAUUGUGACGCCGGUUAAAGCUUACUCACUCCAUUUUGCAAAUGAAAUCAAAUAAGAAAUGCGGCCGCAUUUAGAUUGGUGGAUAAAAAAAAUUCAUGCAAUCAUAGUUAUUUUCCAGCAAAUAUCCGAGUUUUGCAUUUUUUGACAUAAUUUGGCGAAAUGUUUUGCACACCCAGAACUAGCCCUGAAGUUGACUAUAUAGACCUAUUGUUCAACUGGAAUCAUAUUGAACUAGCAGAAACAGCUUUUUAGUAAUACAUGUAUAUUUAUGAAGUCAUUAAAACCAUUUUUUGGCCCUUUUUAAAUCAUUGCCAACUGAUUUGCAUUUCUUGAACAUAAAUAUAGGUCUGUUGCUACUCUUUUUCUAAGAUUAAAUUGCUGAUUGUAAAUAUUCAACCGUGUAUGAUGUAAUAAUACUAUUCAUAUGUGCAAUAUAUAUUAUGAUAUUCAACGUGUAUUUAUCUGCAAUUAUGUCAUAUAUGUGUAUCAUGUAUCUAGUAUAUAAUAGUAUAUAUUUGCUAUUCUUUGCUGUAUUGCUGUACAUGUAUUUCACUGAAGACCAGGGCCCCGUUCCACAAAGCGAUCUUAGCCUUAAGAUUACCGUAGGCGUAUAGCUACCCUAUGCAUUAAGUUGAUCUUAGGGCUAAGAUCGCUUCAUGAAACGGGGCCCAGGGCCCUUAUUUUCAAAGCUAUCUUGGUGUUACGAAAUUGUAAAACCAUUAUAAACUAUGACGUCACUAUGGUAUGUGCAAUAGUGACGUCAUAGCCUACGAUAGCUAGCCAUUGAUUUUUCCAUGUAACAAUAUGUUACAGCCUUGCAAGAAAGCGUGCAUGGCGUGUCACAUGGACACACACUAUGCUAUACGUCACUACAACAAAGUACAGCGCAGGUUCGUUUCGCAUAGAGGCGUCGGGUUUCUUCGUGUAGCGUUGGUACUGGUUAACAGCAUGUAAGUUUAAUGUGAUGACUAAAAUUCAGAUUUUGGAAAAGUUUUUAUUUUCGACACAGUAGCUUGCAACCAUUUGGUUGUCAAGUUUUGCCAAAGUAUUACAUAGACUUUCUUCUAGCCUUAUCCCAUAUAUCAAUAUCAAUAAGGGGUAGGGAUGGAGGUGACUCGAGUUAGCCGUAUCCCACAUAUCACUAUCAAUAAGGGGUAGGGCUGGAGGUAACUCGAGUUAGCCUUAUCCCACAUAUCAGUAUCAAUAAGGGGUAGGGCUAGAGGUGACUCGAGUUAGCCUUACCCCACAUAUCAGUAUCAAUAAGGGGUAGGGCUGGAGGUGACUCGAGUUAGCCUUAUCCCACAUAUCAAUAUCAAUAAGGGGUAGGGCUGGAGGUGACUCGAGUUAGCCUUAUCCCACAUAUCACUAUCAAUAAGGGGUAGGGCUGGAGGUGACUUGAGUUAGCCGUAUCCCACAUAUCAAUAUCAAUAAGGGGUAGGGCUGGAGGUGACUCUAGCUAAGCCUACAAUGGUUUUAAGAUUUCCUAGCGCUAAGAUAGCUUUGAAAAUCCCCACCCAAGUAUAUAAAAUACAUGUACAUGUAUACUGAUGCAAAGAAAUAAGGGAUCACACAAAUACUAACAGGAAAUAGUGACAGCAAUAGACGGUCAGUCCUUAGUGUCAGAAGUUGAUGGUGUUUCUGACAGUCAGUUUGACAGUAUUGACAUUUGUAUGAAACUCAAUUCAGAUAUUAUUAUGCUACAAGAAAAUUAAAUUUGGUCUACAAUUCCAUCAGUUCCCUUACUUUUUUUCAUCAGUAUAUUUUACUUAAAUUUUGUCCUUAUGAAAGUUGCAUUUUAAAUUGGUUUUUUUUUAUUUUUUAAUGGAGACAGAUUUUUAAAAACUACACAUGUAUAUGCUGCAUUUUAACAGCAAGUCUCAUUACAUUUUCUUUAUAUAUAUAUUACUUAAGCAAGAAAAUAAAUUGUAAAAUGCUUUUUAAGUUUAUUUUAUCAGUAAUGCCAAGACCCACAACCAAAAAAACUAAAAUUUCCACAUCCCUUCCCCAUUGUUUAGCAAUAUUAUGUUAUUAACCUUUACCAUUAAUUUCCAACCCCAUUGUUGUCCCUACUCAUUUUAUUCCCCACGACCUCCGACAUAAGCUUUUUUGUUUGUAUCACCUUGCCACCUUGAAGUGUUUUGUUGUCACGUUUUUAACAUUUAAAAUUGUCAUUGUUUUAAUAUGCAUAUAUUCACCAGAUUUUUCUUUCUGUGUUUUUGCUUCAAGUGUUUUGAAAGUCAUUAAUGCAUUUAUUUCGACUCCGUCCUCAUUUCUGCAAUAUACAUGUUCAUUUUUGACUGGUUUUCAAGUUGUUACUAUUUUAAAGUGAAAUCUGCAUGGAUCAAGAUUUUCUGUGAUAUUAAAACAGUGUUUUUUUGGUCAUGUACAUGUAAUGUUUGUUUAAUAAAUUUUAUCUGCAAGUUUA
rnacentral:lncRNA from 1 species